rnacentral:rRNA from 1 species
AGUGAACGCUGGCGGUAGGCCUAACACAUGCAAGUCGAACGGCAGCACAGUAAGAGCUUGCUCUUACGGGUGGCGAGUGGCGGGCGGGUGAGGAAUACGUCGGAAUCUACUUUUUCGUGGGGGAUAACGUAGGGAAACUUACGCUAAUACCGCAUACGACCUACGGGUGAAAGCAGGGGAUCUUCGGACCUUGCGCGAUUGAAUGGGCCGAUGUCGGAUUAGCUAGUUGGCGGGGUAAAGGCCCACCAAGGCGACGAUCCGUAGCUGGUCUGAGAGGAUGAUCAGCCACACUGGAACUGAGACACGGUCCAGACUCCUACGGGAGGCAGCAGUGGGGAAUAUUGGACAAUGGGCGCAAGCCUGAUCCAGCCAUACCGCGUGGGUGAAGAAGGCCUUCGGGUUGUAAAGCCCUUUUGUUGGGAAAGAAAAGCAGCAGGUUAAUACCCCGCUGUUCUGACGGUACCCAAAGAAUAAGCACCGGCUAACUUCGUG